CCUACGGUGUGCAGCAGUGAGGAAUAUUGGUCAAUGGACGAGAGUCUGAACCAGCCAAGUAGCGUGAAGGAUGACUGCCCUAUGGGUUGUAAACUUCUUUUAUAAAGGAAUAAAACGAGGCACGUGUGCCUUUUUGCAUGUACUUUAUGAAUAAGGAUGGGCUAACUCCGUGCCAGCAGCCGCGGUAAUACGGAGGAUCCGACGGUUAUCCGGAUGCAUUGGGUUUAAAGGGAGCGUAGAUGGGUUUUUAAGUCAGUUGUGAAAUUUUGCGGAUCAACCGUGAAAUUGCAAUUGAUAAUGGCAGUCUUGAGUACAGUUGAGGUAGGCGGAAUUCGUGGUGUAGCGGUGAUAUGCUUAGAUAUCACGAAGAACCCCGAUUGCGAAGGCAGCUUACUAAACUGUGACUGACAUUGAUGCUCGAAAGUGUGGGUAUCAAACAGGAUUAGAUACCCCGGUAGUC
rnacentral:rRNA from 1 species